CCCUGUACCACCAAUAACCGUUUGAGAAAUGGGAUGACACAGUAGGAUAAGCUAACCGCACUGUUGGUUAUGUGCGGGCAAGUAUUGAGGCAGUUCCGAUAGGCAAAUCCGUCGGAAUAAUGCUGGGGUACGAUGCGGAGCGAAAUUUAGUAGCGAAGUAGCUGAUUUCACACUGUCGAGAAAAGUCUCUAUCGAGGUUAAAGGUGCCUGUACCGCAAACCGACACAGGUGGGUGAGGAGAGUAUCCUAAGGCCAGCGAGAGAACUGUUGUUAAGGAACUCGGCAAAAUGACCCCGUAACUUAGGGAGAAGGGGUGCCUUCGAAAGAAGGCCGCAGAGAAUAGGCCCAAGCGACUGUUUACCAAAAACAUAGGUUUCUGCUAAGUCGCAAGACGAUGUAUAGGAGCUGACGCCUGCCCGGUGCUGGAAGGUUAAGGGGAUCUGUUAGAGCAAUCGAAGCAGUGAACUUAAGCCCCAGUAAACGGCGGCCGUAACUAUAACGGUCCUAAGGUAGCGAAAUUCCUUGUCGGGUAAGUUCCGACCCGCACGAAAGGCGUAACGAUUUGGGCACUGUCUCAACAACAGACUCGGUGAAAUUGUAAUACCGGUGAAGAUGCCGGUUACCUGCGACAGGACGGAAAGACCCCAUGGAGCUUUACUGUAGCUUGACAUUGAGUCUCGGUGCUACAUGUACAGGAUAGGUGGGAGACUAUGAAGCAUGGACGUCAGUCUGUGUGGAGUCAUCCUUGGGAUACCACCCUUGUAGUACUGGGAUUCUAACCAGAGGCCAUGAAUCUGGUCUUGGGACACUGUCAGGUGGACAGUUUGACUGGGGCGGUCGCCUCCCAAAAAGUAACGGAGGCGCUCAAAGGUUCUCUCAGUACGGUCGGAAAUCGUACGAAGAGUGUAAAGGCAAAAGAGAGCUUGAUUGCAAGACAUACAGGUCGAGCAAGGACGAAAGUCGGACUUAGUGAUCCGGUGGUUCCGCAUGGAAGGGCCAUCGCUCAACGGAUAAAAGCUACCCUGGGGAUAACAGGCUGAUCUCCCCCAAGAGUCCACAUCGACGGGGAGGUUUGGCACCUUGAUGUCGGCUCAUCACAUCCUGGGGCUGUAGUAGGUCCCAAGGGUUGGGCUGUUCGCCCAUUAAAGUGGUACGCGAGCUGGGUUCAGAACGUCGUGAGACAGUUCGGUCCCUAUCCGUCGCAGGCGUAGGAAAUUUGAGGAGACCUGUCCUUAGUACGAGAGGACCGGGAUGGACGUACCGCUGGUGUACCAGUUGUUCUGCCAAGGGCAUGGCUGGGUAGCUAAGUACGGAAAGGAUAAGCGCUGAAAGCAUCUAAGCGCGAAGCCCACUUCAAGAUAAGAUUUCCCACCGCAAGGUUAAGAUCCCAGGAAGACUACCUGGUUGAUAGGUCAGAGGUGUAAGUGCAGUAAUGUAUUUAGCUUACUGAUACUAAUAGAUCGAGGACUUGACCG
rnacentral:rRNA from 1 species